GCGGGAAGAAGCAGCCACACCCUGGGGAAUGUGGAGCCAGUACACCUGCGGGUCUCCAGGGUGAGGGUGGCCCCCAGGCUGCUCCUCCAUUCUUGCACCGUCCCUGUCCCUGGCCACAGCCUGCACCUGUUUGUGCGGCUGCUUCUCUCCCCAGGCCCCCAGCCCUUUCUCGCUCGAGCUCUCAGCAGACGAUUUACUCCAAACUCCACAAUAAACUUAAGGCCAUUGUGCAUCAGUUCAACUUCCCUCUCGGGGCCUGUCCCCACCUCUUUUCUGUAGCCUGGGAGGAGGACGUGGUCCUUCUGUUCCAGGAGACCUGUCCCCUCCCCCCACGCCUGUGCCCGGGCAGCUCUCACUGUCUCCUUGACCGACUCCAUCCCUGCGGUCCAGAGUGAGCUUCCUCCUCUCUGACCUCCUUAGUUUCAUGGCCUCACGUGGAAAACACAAUUCGCACAAGUUCCUCCACGCCCUGCCUCCUGGUGCCUCUGAACCUGUCAUGUCAAAACUGCUACCUUGCUUCUCUCUCUCCCCUGUUUUUACAGCCUGUACACUUCCUCCGUCAGGGGCUUUGUUUCUCCUGCCACUCUGCCUGUCCCCUCUCAGUCUCUCGCUGCUCUGCACUGACACGCUGGCGUUUCCCGGGUGAGGGCUGGGGAUCGCUCUCGCUCAACCUCAUCUUCUCCUUCACACAGCCGUUCCCGACCUGGUGUGAUGUUUCCUGAGAUCCUCCUGCGUUGACAGGCACUGUGCUGUCACCUGAGGAUGGCUCUUCACAUGGUGUGCCUUCUUCCUCAAAAGUGCUUGGUGAAUUUUGGUAUCAGAGGAGCUGACAGCCUUUAGAAAGACUGCUAGAGAACACGGGUACCUGCUCUCUUCAUAUUCUAAAGAGGCUAUCUUUCCAUUUUGAUGAACUGCUGCUCUUCUACACACAAAUACCAUCACUUCCCCCCAGGAGAAGCUGCCUAAGGGAAGAAUCUCCUCAGUAGAACACUGUGGCAACCCAUAUGUGAUCACAAUGUUUGCCCGAUUGUGUACAAUGUCUAGAAGCCAUAAAAGAAAAGUAAAACCUGGGGUGCGUGCCUGGGUGG